UACGUAGGGUGCAAGCGUUAUCCGGAAUUAUUGGGCGUAAAGAGCUCGUAGGCGGUUUGUCGCGUCUGCUGUGAAAACUGGGGGCUCAACCCCCAGCCUGCAGUGGGUACGGGCAGACUAGAGUGCGGUAGGGGAGAUUGGAAUUCCUGGUGUAGCGGUGGAAUGCGCAGAUAUCAGGAGGAACACCGGUGGCGAAGGUGGGUCUCUGGGCAGUAACUGACGCUGAGGAGCGAAAGCGUGGGGAGCGAACAGG
rnacentral:rRNA from 1 species